rnacentral:rRNA from 1 species
UACGUAGGGUGCAAGCGUUGUCCGGAAUUAUUGGGCGUAAAGAGCUUGUAGGUGGUUUGUCGCGUUGUUCGUGAAAACCGGGGGCUUAACCCUCGGCGUGCGGGCGAUACGGGCAGACUUGAGUACUGCAGGGGAGACUGGAAUUCCUGGUGUAGCGGUGGAAUGCGCAGAUAUCAGGAGGAACACCGGUGGCGAAGGCGGGUCUCUGGGCAGUAACUGACGCUGAUGCGCGAAAGCGUGGGGAGCAAACAGG